rnacentral:rRNA from 1 species
UACCGCACCGUCGGGGCAAUGCGUGCGAAAUGCCAGGCCCCGACGAGUAGGAGGGCGUGUCGGUGGCGUUGAAGCGUAGUGCGCGAGCACGCGUGGAGCCGCCUUCAGUGCAGAUCUUGGUGGUAGUAGCAAGUAUACAAAUGAGAACUUUGUAGACCGAAGUGGAGAAGGGUUCCAUGUGAACAGCAGUUGGACAUGGGUCAGUCGGCCCUAAGAGAUCGGAAAAUUCCGUUCUGAACGGGGAGCUUGGAGAGCUGAGCGUGCCGAAUGUGGGCGAGCUGUCACGCGCACCAUGCGGAGCACGGGCCGGCCGGCCGCGCCGUCUGAUCGACUCGCCGCGCGCAAGCGCGAGCGUGCGAGAGAGCGGUCGCGAUGCUGUGAGUCGGGUCGAGAGCGUGCGGGCAGCAAAAACUCUCUUGCCUCUCUUCUGUUGAGGGAGCGAGAGAGCGCACACGCAAAUUCGGAGAGCACACGCCGAGCAAACCUCGCGCGAGCCCCGAUGCGAUCGAAAGGGAAUCGGGUUAAUAUUCCCGAACCUGGCAGUGGAGAUUGGGCCCUCGGGCCCCAGUGCGGUAACGCAACCGAACUCGGAGACGCCAGCGUCGAUCCCGGGAAGAGUUCUCUUUUCUUUGUUAGGAGCGGACUCCCUGGAAUUGGCUUGUCCAGAGAUAGGGACGUUGCAUCCGUAAAGCGUCGCGCCUCACGCGGCGUCCGGUGCAUCGGCGUUGGCCCUUGAAAAUCCGAGGGAGGCAGUGUAAUUUUCACUCCAGGCCGUACCCGAAUCCGCAGCAGGUCUCCAAGGUGAACAGCCUCUGGUCGAUAGAACAAUGUAGGUAAGGGAAGUCGGCAAAUCCGAUCCGUAACUUCGGGAUAAGGAUUGGCUCUGAGGUGCGGGCUGCUUCGGGUCGCGGCAAGAAGCGGAUCGUGCGUUGGUUGGACUGGGCGCGCUCUCGGGCGCGUUCGGACCGCCGCCAGCGCGCGUCCGUGGGAGGCCGUGGCUUUCGCCGGCGCGUGCUCACGCGCGCGUCGGCUUCGUUCGGCCUAAACGCACAGCACAGAACUGGCACGGACUCUGGGAACACGACUGUCUAAUUAAAACAAAGCAUCGCGAUGGCCGCUGGUCGGUGUUGACGCGAUGUGAUUUCUGCCCAGUGCUUUGAAUGUCAAAGUGAAGAAAUUCAACCAAGCGCAGGUAAACGGCGGGAGUAACUAUGACUCUCUUAAGGUAGCCAAAUGCCUCGUCAUCUAAUUAGUGACGCGCAUGAAUGGAUUAACGAUGUUCCCACUGUCCCUAUCUACUAUCUAGCGAAACCACAGCCAAGGGAACGGGCUUGGCAACUACAGCGGGGAAAGAAGACCCUGUUGAGCUUGACUCUAGUUUGACAUUGUGAAGAGACACGAAAGGUGUAGCAUAGGUGGGAGCUCUCACGGGCAACAAUGAAAUACCACUACUUCCGUAGUUUCUUUACUUAUUCAGUAAGACGGAGGGCGAGCGGCCGACUCGGUCGCUCGGCAUUCUGGCGUUGUAAGCCGCGCUCGGCUCCUCGUGAGUCGGCGGCGAUCCGCUCUGAAGACAGUGUCAGGCGGGGAGUUUGACUGGGGCGGUACAUCUGUCAAAAGGUAACGCAGGUGUCCCAAGGUGAGCUCAGCGAGGACAGAAACCUCGCGUAGAGCAAAAGGGCAAAAGCUCACUUGAUUUUGAUUUCCAGUACGAAUACAGACCGCGAAAGCGGGGCCUAUCGAUCCUUACGACUGCCCGGAGCUUGGGGCGUGAGGUGUCAGAAAAGUUACCACAGGGAUAACUGGCUUGUGGCAGCCAAGCGUUCAUAGCGACGUUGCUUUUUGAUCCUUCGAUGUCGGCUCUUCCUAUCAUUGCGAAGCAGAAUUCGCCAAGCGUUGGAUUGUUCACCCACUAAUAGGGAACGUGAGCUGGGUUUAGACCGUCGUGAGACAGGUUAGUUUUACCCUACUGUAAACAUGUCAUUACGCUGGUAAUCCUGCCUAGUACGAGAGGAACCGCAGGUUCAGACAAUUGGUUCAUAUGCUUGUUCGAUCCGAUCAAUGGUGUGACGCUACCAUCUGGCGGUUAAUGGCUGAACGCCUCUAAGUCAGAAACCGUCCCAACGGAAUAUCGGUGAUGAUACUCCGCAGCGCGCUGCUGCUGCUGGGAGGCAGCGAUAGUCGCGUCGCCUUCGGGCGGUCGCGGUGGCUUAGGCCAUGUAAAUUGACUCAUUGCCCGCGUGGCCACGGUUGCGCGGGUGUUCGAGGUCGACUCUCGACCCAUCAGUGUAUUGGCGUGGAACCAUUCGCAAACGACCUAGAUUGCGGCCAGCGUGUCGUACUCAGUAGAGCAGCCCCCACACUGCGAUCUGUUGAGACUCAUCGCUGCG